rnacentral:rRNA from 1 species
AUAGGUCAAGCUACAAAGGGCGCAUGGUGAAUGCCUUGGCAUCAGGAGCCGAUGAAGGACGCGAUAAGCUGCGAUAAGCUUCGGGUAGACGCACAUAGUCAGAGAUCCGAAGAUUUCCGAAUGAGGAAACUCACAUGGGAAACC